AUUUGAUGGAUUUUUGUUGUUGUAACCCUAGAAUGUGAAAUUUAUGGUUUAAAUUGGAGAUUUUUGAUUUAGGGCUUUUGGAGCUCAAUUGUUUGAAUUGGAACCUUCAUUUAGAUUAGAUUGGAAGGGUUCUUACUCUCAUUUGGAGAUUGAGAGAGUUUUUCACCAUUUAAGGUGAGUUUUUGCCCUAUUCUUUGGGUUGGUUAAUGUUUAACCUAUGUGUUAUUCGUUUCGUUCGUGUAACUCUUUUAGAA
rnacentral:lncRNA from 1 species